UCUGUUGCGGCCAAUCGCCUCGUCGCCCGAUCGCCGGGAAGCGUGCACCUGCAAAAAGAAGUCCGCACUGACCGGAGGCGGCUCCGGCGAGGACCCUCCGACGGUCAAGUCAGAGAGGUGACUGGGCAACAGUGAAAUGCAGACAGAGAGCUCUGAGAAGGAGAGAGGGAGAGGGAGAGAGGAGCGAGCCUGCGUAUGUN
rnacentral:lncRNA from 1 species